rnacentral:rRNA from 1 species
GACGAACCGUGCGAACGUUGUUCGGAUUCACUGGGCUUAAAGGGCGCGUAGGCGGGCAAGCAAGUCCGGGGUGAAAUCUUUCGGCUCAACCGGAAAAGUGCCUUGGAUACUGCUUGUCUUGAGGGAGGUAGGGGUCAUGGGAACUUCCGGUGGAGCGGUGAAAUGCGUUGAUAUCGGAAGGAACGCCGGUGGCGAAAGCGCAUGACUGGAUCUCUUCUGACGCUGAGGCGCGAAAGCUAGGGGAGCAAACGGG